CAUCAGCCACGGUAAUACGAAGGGUGCAAGCGUUACUCGGAAUUACUGGGCGUAAAGCGUGCGUAGGUGGUGGUUUAAGUCCGUUGUGAAAGCCCUGGGCUCAACCUGGGAAUUGCAGUGGAUACUGGGUCACUAGAGUGUGGUAGAGGAUAGUGGAAUUUCCGGUGUAGCAGUGAAAUGCGUAGAGAUCGGAAGGAACAUCUGUGGCGAAGGCGACUAUCUGGGCCAACACUGACACUGAGGCACGAAAGCGUGGGGGGCAAACAGGAUUAGAUACCCGAGUAGUCCCUGUCUCUUAUAC
rnacentral:rRNA from 1 species